rnacentral:rRNA from 1 species
GACGAACGCUGGCGGCGUGCUUAACACAUGCAAGUCGAACGGAAAGGCCCUGCUUGCAGGGUGCUCGAGUGGCGAACGGGUGAGUAACACGUGGGUGAUCUGCCCCUUACUUUGGGAUAAGCCUGGGAAACUGGGUCUAAUACUGGAUAGGACCAUGCUGUAGGUGGUGUGGUGGAAAGAUUAGUUUCGGUAAGGGAUGAGCUCGCGGCCUAUCAGCUUGUUGGUGGGGUAAUGGCCUACCAAGGCGUCGACGGGUAGCCGGCCUGAGAGGGUGGACGGCCACAUUGGGACUGAGAUACGGCCCAGACUCCUACGGGAGGCAGCAGUGGGGAAUAUUGCACAAUGGGCGCAAGCCUGAUGCAGCGACGCCGCGUGGGGGAUGACGGCCUUCGGGUUGUAAACUCCUUUCAGCCAUGACGAAGCCCUUGUGGUGACGGUAAUGGUAGAAGAAGCACCGGCUAACUACGUGCCAGCAGCCGCGGUAAUACGUAGGGUGCGAGCGUUGUCCGGAAUUACUGGGCGUAAAGAGCUCGUAGGUGGUCUGUCGCGUCAUUUGUGAAAGCCCGGGGCUUAACUCCGGGUUGGCAGGUGAUACGGGCAUGACUGGAGUACUGUAGGGGAGACUGGAAUUCCUGGUGUAGCGGUGAAAUGCGCAGAUAUCAGGAGGAACACCGGUGGCGAAGGCGGGUCUCUGGGCAGUAACUGACGCUGAGGAGCGAAAGCAUGGGUAGCGAACGGG